rnacentral:rRNA from 1 species
GACGAACGCUGGCGGCGUGCCUAACACAUGCAAGUCGAACGGAGUCAAAAAGCUUGCUUUUUGACUUAGUGGCGGACGGGUGAGUAACGCGUGAGUAACCUGCCUCUGAGAGGGGAAUAACGUUCUGAAAAGAACGCUAAUACCGCACAACGUAUCGAAGCCGCAUGACUUUGAAACCAAAGAGUUUAUCGCUCGUAGAUGGACUCGCGUCCGAUUAGUUAGUUGGUGAGGUAACGGCUCACCAAGACCGCGAUCGGUAGCCGGACUGAGAGGUUGAUCUGCCACAUUGGGACUGAGACACGGCCCAGACUCCUACGGGAGGCAGCAGUGGGGGAUAUUGCGCAAUGGGGGCAACCCUGACGCAGCAACGCCGCGUGAAGGAUGAAGGUUUUCGGAUUGUAAACUUCUUUUAUCAGGGACGAAGCUUGACGGUACCUGAUGAAUAAGCUCCGGCUAACUACGUGCCAGCAGCCGCCGUAAAAC